UGCUCCAGGAGGGGUGCACACUCCAUCAGGGAUGUGUGCUCCGUCAGGGAUGUGUGCUCUGGGAGGGAUGCGCACUCCAGCAGGGAUGUGUGCUCCAGCAGGGAUGUGUGUUCAACAGGGAUCUGUGCUCCAGCAGGGUGUGUGCUCCAUCAGGGAUGUGUGCUCCGGUAGGAAUGUGUGCUCCGUUAUGGAUGUGUGCUGUGGGAGGGAUGCACACUCCGGUAGGGAUGUGUACUCCAGCAGAGAUGUGUGCUCCAGGAGGGAUGUGUGCUCCAGGAUGGAUGCACGCUCCAUCAGGGAUGUGUGCUCCAGCAGAGAUGUGUGCUCCAGGAGGGAUGCAAGCUCCGGUAGGGAUGUGUGCUUCAACAGAGAUGUGUGUUCCAACAGGGAUGUGUGCUCCAGGUGGGAUGUGUGUUCAGCAGAGAUGUGUGCUCUGGUAGAGAUGUGUGCUCCAGGAGGGAUGCUUCCGCAGGGUGUUUCCUCUGGCAAGGGAUGUGUGCUCCGGCAGGGAUGCUCCAGCAGGGAUGCUCCCUCAGGAGUGCGUGCUCCAGCAAGAGAUGUGUGCUCCAGCAGGGAUGCUCCAGCAGGGAUGUGUGCUCCAGCCAGGAUGUGUGCUUCAACAGGGAUGCGUGCUCCAGCAAGGGAUGCAUGCUCUGGGAGGGAUGUGCCCCCUGCCAAGGGAUGCGUGCUCCGGCAGGGAUGCACAUUUUGGGAAGGGAUGUGCGCUCCAGCAAGGGAUGCACUCUCCAGGAGGGACGUAGGCUCCGGCAGGGACGUGCAUUCCAUCAAGGAUGCAUGUUCCAGCAAGGGACGCAUUCUCCAGCAGGGAUGCGCGCUCGCUCCCGUGCUUCCCUGGGCUCUAGAGGAGAGGGGGAGGCUGGUUCUCCUUCACCUGGCCCUCUUGGUCCUCUCCCCAUGGGCAGGUGCUGGGGUGGCAAGAGCUGAACCCAGUAGAGCAUUCGGGAGGAGGCAGCAGGAGCCUGGCCGCUGGCUGGGGGGGGGCUGGGGAGG
rnacentral:lncRNA from 1 species